CAAUGGCAUUAGCUGCUUCACUGCACGAAUGUGCUACAGUCUCCCUGGACAGUGCCUGACUUCUCUUGACGCCAAGUACAGCUUUCAUCUUCUUUUAAAAAGGGGCUUGGGAAGAUGAGUGAACCACCAGGGAGCCUACAAUCCAUAAACAUGAUAAGAAAACUGGGGCUUCAAGAGAUUAACGACUUUGCCGAGGACCACAGGACUGCUAAAUCAUGUGGCAUUCAAACUCCAGUCACUGUCUCCCAAGCCUGAGCGCUUAGCUUCCAUCCUGGGAACUCUCGGUCUGGCAUAUGGACAAAUAAAGUUUAAUGCAAGAAAGCCACAACAAGGAUAUGAA